GACGUAGGGUGCAAGCGUUGUCCGGAUUUACUGGGCGUAAAGAGCGCGUAGGCGGUCUGUUAAGUGUGAAGUGAAAUCUCCAGAGCUCAACUCGGAAACUGCUUCGCAUACUGGCAGGCUGGAGGAACGGAGAGGUGAGUGGAAUUCCUGGUGUACCGGUGAAAUGGGUUGAUAUCAGGAGGAACACCGAUGGCGAAGGCAGCUCCCUGGCCGUUAUCUGACGCUGAGGCGCGAAAGCGUGGGUAGCAAACCGG
rnacentral:rRNA from 1 species